rnacentral:rRNA from 1 species
GACGAACCGUGCGAACGUUGUUCGGAUUCACUGGGCUUAAAGGGCGCGUAGGCGGGCAACCAAGUCAGGGGUGAAAUCUUUCGGCCCAACCGGAAAAGUGCCUCUGAUACUGGUUGUCUCGAGGGAGGUAGGGGCGUGUGGAACUUCCGGUGGAGCGGUGAAAUGCGUAGAUAUCGGAAGGAACGCCGGUGGCGAAAGCGACGCGCUGGACCUCUUCUGACGCUGAUGCGCGAAAGCCAGGGGAGCAAACGGG